rnacentral:rRNA from 1 species
GGUUAAGCGACUAAGCGUACACGGUGGAUGCCCUGGCAGUCAGAGGCGAUGAAGGACGUGCUAAUCUGCGAAAAGCGUCGGUAAGGUGAUAUGAACCGUUAUAACCGGCGAUGUCCGAAUGGGGAAACCCAGUGCAAUUCGUUGCACUAUCGUUAACUGAAUACAUAGGUUAACGAGGCGAACCGGGGGAACUGAAACAUCUAAGUACCCCGAGGAAAAGAAAUCAACCGAGAUUCCCCCAGUAGCGGCGAGCGAACGGGGAGCAGCCCAGAGUCUGAAUCAGCUUGUGUGUUAGUGGAACGGUCUGGAAAGUCCGACGGUACAGGGUGAUAGUCCCGUACACCAAAAUGCACAGGCUGUGAACUCGAAGAGUAGGGCGGGACACGUGGUAUCCUGUCUGAAUAUGGGGGGACCAUCCUCCAAGGCUAAAUACUCCUGACUGACCGAUAGUGAACCAGUACCGUGAGGGAAAGGCGAAAAGAACCCCGGCGAGGGGAGUGAAAAAGAACCUGAAACCGUGUACGUACAAGCAGUGGGAGCACCUUCGGGUGUGACUGCGUACCUUUUGUAUAAUGGGUCAGCGACUUAUAUUCUGUAGCAAGGUUAACCGUAUAGGGGAGCCGCAGGGAAACCGAGUCUUAACUGGGCGUUAAGUUGCAGGGUAUAGACCCGAAACCCGGUGAUCUAGCCAUGGGCAGGUUGAAGGUUGGGUAACACUAACUGGAGGACCGAACCGACUAAUGUUGAAAAAUUAGCGGAUGACUUGUGGCUGGGGGUGAAAGGCCAAUCAAACCGGGAGAUAGCUGGUUCUCCCCGAAAGCUAUUUAGGUAGCGCCUCGUGAACUCAUCUUCGGGGGUAGAGCACUGUUUCGGCUAGGGGGUCAUCCCGACUUACCAACCCGAUGCAAACUACGAAUACCGAAGAAUGUUAUCACGGGAGACACACGGCGGGUGCUAACGUCCGUCGUGAAGAGGGAAACAACCCAGACCGCCAGCUAAGGUCCCAAAGUCAUGGUUAAGUGGGAAACGAUGUGGGAAGGCACAGACAGCCAGGAUGUUGGCUUAGAAGCAGCCAUCAUUUAAAGAAAGCGUAAUAGCUCACUGGUCGAGUCGGCCUGCGCGGAAGAUGUAACGGGGCUAAACCAUGCACCGAAGCUGCGGCAGCGACACUAUGUGUUGUUGGGUAGGGGAGCGUUCUGUAAGCCUGCGAAGGUGACCUGUGAGGGUUGCUGGAGGUAUCAGAAGUGCGAAUGCUGACAUAAGUAACGAUAAAGCGGGUGAAAAGCCCGCUCGCCGGAAGACCAAGGGUUCCUGUCCAACGUUAAUCGGGGCAGGGUGAGUCGACCCCUAAGGCGAGGCCGAAAGGCGUAGUCGAUGGGAAACAGGUUAAUAUUCCUGUACUUGGUGUUACUGCGAAGGGGGGACGGAGAAGGCUAUGUUAGCCGGGCGACGGUUGUCCCGGUUUAAGCAUGUAGGCUGGUUAUCCAGGCAAAUCCGGAUAAUCAAGGCUGAGGUGUGAUGACGAGGCACUACGGUGCUGAAGUAACAAAUGCCCUGCUUCCAGGAAAAGCCUCUAAGCAUCAGGUAACAUCAAAUCGUACCCCAAACCGACACAGGUGGUCAGGUAGAGAAUACCAAGGCGCUUGAGAGAACUCGGGUGAAGGAACUAGGCAAAAUGGUGCCGUAACUUCGGGAGAAGGCACGCUGGUGUGUAGGUGAAGCCCCUGCGGGUGGAGCUGAGACCAGUCGAAGAUACCAGCUGGCUGCAACUGUUUAUUAAAAACACAGCACUGUGCAAACACGAAAGUGGACGUAUACGGUGUGACGCCUGCCCGGUGCCGGAAGGUUAAUUGAUGGGGUUAUCCGUAAGGAGAAGCUCUUGAUCGAAGCCCCGGUAAACGGCGGCCGUAACUAUAACGGUCCUAAGGUAGCGAAAUUCCUUGUCGGGUAAGUUCCGACCUGCACGAAUGGCGUAAUGAUGGCCAGGCUGUCUCCACCCGAGACUCAGUGAAAUUGAACUCGCUGUGAAGAUGCAGUGUACCCGCGGCAAGACGGAAAGACCCCGUGAACCUUUACUAUAGCUUGACACUGAACAUUGAGCCUUGAUGUGUAGGAUAGGUGGGAGGCUUUGAAGCGUGGACGCCAGUCUGCGUGGAGCCAACCUUGAAAUACCACCCUUUAAUGUUUGAUGUUCUAACGUUGGCCCCUUACCGGGGUUGCGGACAGUGUCUGGUGGGUAGUUUGACUGGGGCGGUCUCCUCCCAAAGCGUAACGGAGGAGCACGAAGGUUAGCUAAUCCUGGUCGGACAUCAGGAGGUUAGUGCAAUGGCAUAAGCUAGCUUGACUGCGAGCGUGACGGCGCGAGCAGGUGCGAAAGCAGGUCAUAGUGAUCCGGUGGUUCUGAAUGGAAGGGCCAUCGCUCAACGGAUAAAAGGUACUCCGGGGAUAACAGGCUGAUACCGCCCAAGAGUUCAUAUCGACGGCGGUGUUUGGCACCUCGAUGUCGGCUCAUCACAUCCUGGGGCUGAAGUAGGUCCCAAGGGUAUGGCUGUUCGCCAUUUAAAGUGGUACGCGAGCUGGGUUUAGAACGUCGUGAGACAGUUCGGUCCCUAUCUGCCGUGGGCGCUGGAGAAUUGAGGGGGGCUGCUCCUAGUACGAGAGGACCGGAGUGGACGCAUCACUGGUGUUCGGGUUGUCAUGCCAAUGGCACUGCCCGGUAGCUAAAUGCGGAAGAGAUAAGUGCUGAAAGCAUCUAAGCACGAAACUUGCCCCGAGAUGAGUUCUCCCUGAGACUUUAAGUCUCCUGAAGGAACGUUAAAGACGAUGACGUUGAUAGGCCGGGUGUGUAAGCGCAGCGAUGCGUUGAGCUAACCGGUACUAAUGAACCGUGAGGCUUAACCUU